UACCUGCUUACCCUUUCAUCGGGUUCU
rnacentral:piRNA from 1 species